rnacentral:rRNA from 1 species
GACGAACGCUGGCGGCGUGCUUAACACAUGCAAGUCGAGCGGAAAGGCCCUUCGGGGUACUCGAGCGGCGAACGGGUGAGUAACACGUGAGCAACCUGCCCUUAGCUUCGGGAUAGCUCCGGGAAACCGGAAUUAAUACCGGAUAUGACCACGGCCGACAUCGGCCGUGGUGGAAAGUUUUUCGGCUAGGGAUGGACUCGCGGCCUAUCAGCUAGUUGGUGAGGUAACGGCCCACCAAGGCGACGACGGGUAGCCGGCCUGAGAGGGCGA